GCGUAGCUCAGUUGGCUAGAGCGCUGGUCUCCAAAACCAGAGGUCGGGGGUUCGACUCCUCCCGCU
rnacentral:tRNA from 1 species